GAUGAACGCUGGCGGCGUGCUUAACACAUGCAAGUCGAACGAAGCACUCUAUUUGAUUUUUUUCGGAAAUGAAGAUUUUGUGACUGAGUGGCGGACGGGUGAGUAACGCGUGGGUAACCUGCCUCAUACAGGGGGAUAACAGUUGGAAACGACUGCUAAUACCGCAUAAGCGCACGGUAUCGCAUGGUACAGUGUGAAAAACUCCGGUGGUAUGAGAUGGACCCGCGUCUGAUUAGCUAGUUGGUGGGGCAACGGCCUACCAAAGCGACGAUCAGUAGCCGACCUGAGAGGGUGACCGGCCACAUUGGGACUGAGACACGGCCCAAACUCCUACGGGAGGCAGCAGUGGGGAAUAUUGCACAAUGGGGGAAACCCUGGUGCAGCGACGCCGCGUGAACGAAGAAGUAUUUCGGUAUGUAAAGUUCUAUCAGCAGGGAAGAUAAUGACGGUACCUGACUAAGAAGCACCGGCUAAAUACGUGCCAGCCGCCGCAGUAA
rnacentral:rRNA from 1 species